GACGAACCACACGAACGUUAUUCGGAAUCACUGGGCUUAAAGGGUGCGUAGGCGGCGCGGAAAGUAGGGUGUGAAAUCCCGGGGCUUAACCCCGGGACUGCAUUCCAUACUGCGGUGCUUGAGGACUGGAGAGGAGACUGGAAUUUACGGUGUAGCAGUGAAAUGCGUAGAGAUCGUAAGGAAGACCAGUGGCGAAGGCGGGUCUCUGGACAGUUCCUGACACUGAGACACGAAGGCCAGGGGAGCAAACGGG
rnacentral:rRNA from 1 species